GAUGAACGCUGGCGGCGUGCCUAAAACAUGCAAGUCGAGCGGCAGCGAGUUCCUCGCUAAUGUUCGGAUUUGUUUACCAAUGAUGCAAGUAAUUUAGUCAGAGUAACAAAGUAACGACUAGUUGUUUAAGUUAAAAGGUAGAUUUAAUAUUCCGGAUAUGAGCGAGGAAUGUCGGCGAGCGGCGGACGGCUGAGUAGCGCGUAGGAACAUACCCCAAAGUGAGGCAUAACCGCCCGAAAGGGUGGCUAAUACCGCAUAUUGUCUUCGGAUGAAAGCUUUUAGCGCUUUGGGAAUGGCCUGCGUUUGAUUAGCUAGUUGGUGAGGUAAGGGCUUACCAAGGCGAUGAUCAAUAGCUGGUUUGAGAGAAUGAUCAGCCAGACUGGAACUGAGACACGGUCCAGACUCCUACGGGAGGCAGCAGUUGGGAAUUUUCCACAAUGGGCGAAAGCCUGAUGGAGCAACGCCGCGUGCAGGAAGAAUGCCUUCGGGUUGUAAA
rnacentral:rRNA from 1 species